rnacentral:lncRNA from 1 species
UCGCCCAUCUCACAAUUAUCUUGAAAGCCAGGUCCAUAUUGUAUAUUUAUUAGUUCACAGACAAAACAGACACUGAAAAGUGCAUAAUAAAGACUAUAAUUGUUAAGAUAAUAUUAUAGCCAUAAUGUUAUCAAAGUAGUAAUGGUAUUGCUUUGAAUUAAUUACACUGGAUACAUGGGAGGAUUCCCAGGAUUGAAUGAAUAAAUUAUAUCCUUGUUCUUAGCAAAGCAAACAAUAAAAUUCCCACUGUACUGUCUAAUCAGAAACUCUAAUCUCAACGGUUAUUUUCUUUAUUGAGGGAAGCUGAUCUAAAUUUAUGGAGAAAAUGGUAGCAUCACAUCAUGCUAUCUUGUAGAGAAUAUGGGCUUAGGAAAGGGAACCCGCUACUUCAGAUUCAGCCUUCUACUUAUGACAUAUGUAACUUUAGCAAAAUGUUUAAUAAUAUGAGCCUUAACUUCAUCAUGUAUGAAAUGUCGAUAACAACAUGGUAGGUCCUUUAAUCUUUAGCACGGAACUCUCUAAUAGGGUAUGACUUUAAAAUAUCUGGCUACAAAUCUAUACUUUGGUAAAGCCUUGACAGAUAACAGCUCAUUUACACUUUAAUUUUUGAGUGUGUAAACCUCCCAGAAAAAUGGCAUCAGUUUGAAGUUUUGAAAAUGUCUUUGCAGUGCAAAUUUAAAAAGAUAUUUUUCAAAGAGUGUUAUAUCCUGGAAUCCCUUAAUUUUAGAGUUUUCACUCAAUCUUGGAUUCAAAAUUAUAUCUGUUUCUCAAUCCGCAAACGUAGCAUUUUCAUUUUACCAUUGCAUUCCUGUGUGGUUCUUGCUGAUUCUUUUUUUGCCUACUCAGGUUUGUGGCUUUGGGACAGACAAUUAGGGAAAUGUUAAAAUAAAGAGAGAGAGAAAAAAAAAUCUUCAAAAUGUCCCUCUUGCUCAAUUUCCACUGUCAUCAACUACUCAUCUAGAGACAAGAUUUCCAAUUAUCCUAUCAAACUGUAGUCAAAUCUGUAAGAUUAACAUUUUUCAACUCCCUCUUUGCCUGGAAUACAAUAAUAUUCCAGUAUUACUCAUGUGAAAGUGAAGAAAUGACUCUACAGUGAGCCAACUCACCAGAAGCCGGAUUUUCCUGAUACACCUUUUGUUGAAGGUGUUCUUCCUAGUAUUAAGGAGCUUCACACACUUUCUCUCUCAAAAAGGAAAUUUUGUUUAAAGUUUUCUAGUCCUUCAAUCAGUCAGUUGGUAAUUCUUACAAAAUAUGAUUCAAUGAAGUACUGAAAUGGCAUUUUUCCAACUGUCAAGAAGUCGAAAGGAGCAGAGAGAUGCUUCUGAGGAAGGGACAGACCUUGAGACCACAUUCUGUGAUCGUUUUGUUUGUUUUACAUCUAACUGCUUGACUUCAGGGACACAGACCCUGGAGAAUCCUGACAGUUCAUUGUCAUGAGAUAUAAACAAAAUAAUUAGAGAAAACUUUCUCUUCUGUAACUUAGAAUAUAAUUUCUUCUGAGUUGCUAAGUGUUGGUCAUGUCUUAAAAAAUAAUAUACAUCUAUAUAGAGGCUGUACUGAAAAACUUGAAAAAAUAAAAAUAAAACAAAAAACACAACCAUGACUAUUCUAAUAACCCCUAUGUAAUUAGAGCUGAUAUGCUUUUAAAAUAUUUUUCUGUUGCUUUAUGUGUAUGCAUUUAUUUAUACACAAACAUUUUUAACAUUACAUUGUACAUAUUUUUACAUUCAAUUAUGUUGGCUUAUUGUUAUAGUCUAAACAUGCCUUGAGCUAGUGUUUCAAAGAAUAGGGAUAUGUUAGGUAUCAGAAUUGCACUGUAUAUCCACCUAUAGUUUUCAGCAUAACCAUAUAAGUCAUAGUACUGAUAUUUUAAAUCCAUGUAAUGUAAUUUCUGAAUCUAUUCCUAUAGGGCACAAAUCAGAGAAGAAAAAAAAUGGUGUCAAAUAUUGACCCAAUAAUAUACCACCUCAUUGGUUACUGACCAUGAAGUCUUGAGACAUGCACACGUGUAGUGGCAUUUGGAAACAGAAAUUACAACUAUUCAAAAGGUUUGGAAAUUCUGAUGCAGCUAGUAUUGAAAAAUUUAGACAAAUUGAUAGGCUAAAUUUAAGCAGCUAGUUAUGGUUUAUAUUUAUAUUAUGAGCUAUUUUUAAUAGGCCAUGGGCAGCAAAAAUUAAAUAUCUGCUUGGAAAUUUCUAAGACCGACCUCCAUCAAUACAUUUUACCUGAUAUUCCAGUUGAAGUCAAGUCAGGGAUUAAAUCAAUGAAAAGAAUUUUAGAAUCUAAGCCAAGGAUUACUUUAAAAUAUUAUCACUCAGAAACAGAAGUUUUUUUUUCACUUUUCUGUUUUAUAGACAUCUUAGUGUAUAAGCCAAAACUAAAAAAGUAAAGACAAGCAAAAUAUAGAUCUAAUACACAAUCCAGCAAUCCACUACUGGGUAUCUAGCCAAAGAAAAAGAAAUCAGUAUAUCAAAGGUAUACCUGCACUUGCAUGUCUAUUGCAGCAUUAUUCACAAUAGCCAAGAUAUGGAAUUAACCUGUAUCCAUCAAUGAAUGAAUGGAUAAAGAAAAUGUGGUAUAAACACCCAGUGGAAUAUUAUUCAGUCACAGAAGGAAUGAAAUUCUGUCAUUUGCGGUUAUGUAGUUUGGAUGUUUCUCCUCUCCAAAUUCCAUGUAGAAAUGUGAUUUCCAAUGUUGGAGGUGAGGCCUAGUGGUAGAUGUUUGGGUCAUGAGGAUGGAUUCCUCAUGAAUGGCUUGGUGCCCUUGAUCCAUUAGUUCAUUCAAGAGCUGCUGGUUCAUGUGAGGGUCUGGGACCUCCCUCCUCUCUGCCUUGCUCUCUUUCUUUCCAUGACACAUCUGCUACCCCUUUGACUUCCACCAUGUUUGUGAGCUUCCUAAGACCCUAACCAGAAGCAGGUGCCGAUGCCAUGCUUCUUGUAUAGCCUGCAGAACUGUAAGCCAAAUAACCCCUUUCUCUUUAUAAAUUGUCCAACAUCACAAUUUCCUUUAUAACAGAACAAAAACGGAUUAACACAUGCAACAAUGUAGAUGGAACUGGAGGUCAUUAAGUUAAGGGAAAUUUGCCAGGCACAGAAAACCAAAUAUUACAUGCUCUCACUCAUAUGUAGGACAUAAAAAGUCAAUCUCAUGGACAUAGAAAAUAGAAUAAAUGUUAUCAGAGGCUGAAAAGGGUAGUGGGGAGAGUGGUGUAUAAACAGGUGUUGAUUAAUGAUCAAAGAUUAAUUAUAUCUAACCAAAAUACAGUUAGAUAGAAGGAAUAAGAUCUAGUAGUAGUCCAUACACAAUAGGGCAACUGUAGUUAACUAUAAUCUAUUGUAUAUUUCAAAAUAACUAGAAAAGUGAAAUUGGAACAUUCUUAAAAGAAGAAAUGACCAGUGCUUGAUGUGAUGAAUAUCUCAAUUACCCUGAUUUAAUCAUUAUGCAUGGUAUCCUUGUAUCAAAACUUCACAUGUACCCCAUAUACAUGUACAACUAUUAUGUAGCCAUAAAAAUUAAAAAUAAAUAAAUGAAUAAGACAAUGAAAACCCAUGUUGGCACAAGCAUAUUUGUGCAACAAGUUUUAAUUUUAAAAGUAUUGAUUAUGUGUAUUAUUAUCUUGCAAUUCUAAAUUCCAAUGCUACAAACUUUGUUCAGAGUUGCAUGCAGGUUUUGGUUAAGGAAUGAUCUGUGCACAUAAUACUAACUUUUUUUAAUCUUCCAAUGUGUGGUUUCAUUACAGCUUUAAGUCAUUAUUUUCGUAAGUUCUGAACAUGUUUUUAAAAACAGAAACCAAGGCUGUGGCUAUAUCAAUAGAGGCGUGAGAAAUUGCUUUAUAUAAACAAAUUGCUUAAAUAGAGAUCUGAAUUAUGGAUGACAUGUCACCUUCUUGGGCUAAAAAAAGAAAUAUUUCAAUAAAUUUCUGCCAAUUCAAAGUUAAAGAUUUAUUUAAAAGAAAGGUGCCAAACUCUUCUCAGUCAGGUAAUCAAUGAGAGAAUAGAUUUACUGAUAUAAUUUGUUAUUUUUGUUACCAAAAUAAGUAUAGUAAGAGAAAAUUUUUUAAAAAUGAACUAGUUAAACUAUAGGUAAUUUUUUUUUUCAGAAGAAAAGUUGAGAUCCAAGAGGCCAGGCAAGAGAGAUAUUAAAAGAAAGAGUCUAUAGUCCCAAUCCAAUUGCUAUUUAAGAAACAGUCAUAAAAAUAUUUUUUCUUUUGAGAAGUGUCUGAUCACAACCUUCACCCACUUUUUGAUGGGUUUUUUUUUUCUUGGAAAUUUGUUUCAGUUCCUUAUAGAUUCUGGAUAUUAGCCCUUUGCAAGAAGGGUAGAUUGCAAAAAUUUUCUAUUCUGUAGGUUGCCUGUUCACUCUGAUUAUAAUAGUUUCUUUUGCUGUGCAGAAGCUCUUUAGUCUAAUUAGAUCCCAUUUGUCAAUUUUGGCUUUUGUUGUCAUUGCUUUUGGUGUUUUAGACAUGAAGUUUUUGCCCAUGCCUAUGCCCUGAAUGGUCUUGCCCAGGUUUUCUCCUAGGAUUUUUAUGGUCCCAGGUCUUACAUUUAAGUCUUCGAUCCAUCUUGAGUUAAUUUUUACACAAGAUGUAAGGAAGGGGUCCAGUUUCAGUUUUUGCAUAUAGCUAGCCAGUUUUCCCAACACCAUUUAUUAAAUAGGGAAUCUUUUCCCCAUUGCUUGUGUGUAUCAGUUUUGUCACAUAUCAGAUGGUUGUGUAACAAAACUGCAUGUUCUGCACAUGUAACCCAGAACUUAAAGUAUAAUAAAAAAAUUUUCCAAGUGGGAGAAAUUAUUUUAUUUUUCUAAGAUAUAAAAGUUAACAGUAUCCUAAAAGACCCUGAUAGAAAAUAAAGGGAAAAUAUAAAAGUAAACUGGAAUAACAAAUCCAGGGGAAUUCAGGCCUAAGAAGUGUCUGAGCAAUGUCUUUUUCUUAAACUUUUAGAUAAAUUUUCCAUGACAAUAAUAAUAAUUAGUAAUAAUAUAAUGUUACUUCAAAUACCUCCAAACAAUGAUAUAUUAAAACACUAAAGGCAUUUGAUUAUAUAAACACUCAUAAGAACUAUUUCUUUUAAAAUUUAAUAUCAAAGCAUGUAAAAACUUCCUUAGCAAAUAAAAUUAUAUGUUUCUUAAUUUCAUAAAGGAGCUUCAAAUAACUACAGGACAAACAGGCUUAAUAUUAAAACGUAAGAUAUUACUUUUGAAAUCAUAAAUAUUUACAGCUUUCUUUAUUUUGUCAAUCAUUGUACUGUAACUUUUAACCACUAAAGUUGUGUAAUAAUGCAUAUAAACAAGGAUCAAUUACAGAUAGAUCAAUAGAUAGACAGAUAAAACAAAAAAGGUCAUCAUUUUCAUAAGAUGACAUUUCACAGAUAAUAAUACAUAGUAAUGUAGAGAUAACAUGGAUAAGGGAAAAAAAAUGAAUGAGAGUUUUGUAAUGUUUCUGAAUUCAAAACAAAUAUAUUAAAAUCAACUGUAUGUCUUUAUAAAAGCAGCAAACUAGAAUGAAAUAUUUAAGAAUAGACUACUUAUGAUAGCAUCAAAUAUUCAAUACCUAGGGGUAGGUCAGUAACUCUAAAGAUAAGUGUAUCAAAAUAUAUUAAGAGG